rnacentral:rRNA from 1 species
AAAGAAAGAUGGAGGCAUGCCUAACACAUGCAAGUCGAACGAGACCUUCGGGUCUAGUGGCGCACGGGUGCGUAACGCGUGGGAACCUGCCCUUAGGUUCGGAAUAACUCCCCGAAAGGGGUGCUAAUACCGGAUAAUGUCUUCGGACCAAAGAUUUAUCGCCUUUGGAUGGGCCCGCGUUGGAUUAGCUAGUUGGUAGGGUAAAAGCCUACCAAGGCGACGAUCCAUAGCUGGUCUGAGAGGAUGAUCAGCCACACUGGGACUGAGACACGGCCCAGACUCCUACGGGAGGCAGCAGUGGGGAAUAUUGGACAAUGGGCGAAAGCCUGAUCCAGCAAUGCCGCGUGAGUGAUGAAGGCCUUAGGGUUGUAAAGCUCUUUUACCCGGGAUGAUAAUGACAGUACCGGGAGAAUAAGCUCCGGCUAACUCCGUG